ACUCAGGUGUUGUUGGGUAGGGGAGCGUUCUGUAAGCCUGUGAAGGUGGCCUGUGAGGGUUGCUGGAGGUAUCAGAAGUGCGAAUGCUGACAUAAGUAACGAUAAAGCGGGUGAAAAGCCCGCUCGCCGGAAGACCAAGGGUUCCUGUCCAACGUUAAUCGGGGCAGGGUGAGUCGACCCCUAAGGCGAGGCCGAAAGGCGUAGUCGAUGGGAAACGGGUUAAUAUUCCCGUACUUGGUGUUACUGCGAAGGGGGGACGGAGAAGGCUAUGUUGGCCGGGCGACGGUUGUCCCGGUUUAAGCGUGUAGGUGUGUGUUCCAGGUAAAUCCGGUUCACUUUAACACUGAGGCGUGAUGACGAGGCACUACGGUGCUGAAGCAACAAAUGCCCUGCUUCCAGGAAAAGCCUCUAAGCAUCAGGUAACAUCAAAUCGUACCCCAAACCGACACAGGUGGUCAGGUAGAGAAUACCAAGGCGCUUGAGAGAACUCGGGUGAAGGAACUAGGCAAAAUGGUGCCGUAACUUCGGGAGAAGGCACGCUGACA
rnacentral:rRNA from 1 species